CCUACGGGCGGCAGCAGUGGGGAAUAUUGGGCAAUGGGCGCAAGCCUUACCCAGCAAUACCGCGUGAGUGAAGAAGGUCUUCGGAUUGUAAAGCUCUUUGAUCAGGGACGAACAGAUGACGGUACCUGAAGAACAAGCCCCGGCUAACUACGUGCCAGCAGCCGCGGUAAAACGUAGGGGGCGAGCGUUGUCCGGAAUGACUGGGCGUAAAGGGUGCGUAGGCGGCAUAAUAAGUUAGAAGUGAAAUACCCAGAGCUUAACUCGGGUGCUGCUUCUAAGACUGUUGAGCUUGAGUGCGGGAGAGGUUAAUGGAAUUCCUAGUGUAGCGGUGAAAUGCGUAGAUAUUAGGAGGAACACCAGUGGCGAAGGCGGCCUGCUGGACGAUGACUGACGUUGAGGCUCGAAAGCGUGGGGAGCAAACAGGAUUAGAUACCCCAGUAGUC
rnacentral:rRNA from 1 species